UCAACCAUCAUUGGGGAAUUUGAGCAAUUUGGAAUCACUAGACCUUUCUUCAAAUCUUCUUGUUGGAAGGAUUCCCAUGCAAUUGAAUGAUUUGACAUUUCUGGAAGUAUUUCGAGUUUCACAUAAUCGACUUGAAGGACCUAUACCUGAAGGAAAGCAAUUCAACACAUUCGACACCAGUUCAUAUGAAGGAAAUCUAGGACUAUGCGGAUUUCCGCUAAAACAAUGUAACAGCGGGAAUUGGCAACCACCAAUAGCAUCAAAAGAAGAUGAUUCCGAAUCUAAAAUUGGAUUUGGAUGGAAACCUGUAUUGGUAGGGUAUGCAUGUGGAGUAAUAUUUGGUGUUGCAAUGGGUUAUGUUGUGUUUAAAACAAGAAAA
rnacentral:misc_RNA from 1 species